AAGUCGUAACAAGGUUUCCGUAGGUGAACCUGCGGAAGGAUCAUUACAAAUCGAGGAUGAGGUGGCGGGGGGGUUGGUUCGGGGUUUGGAUUUGGGUCUGGGUUCGGGGUUCGGGGUUCAGGUUCGGGGGUUUGGGUUUGGGUUUGGGUUCAGGUUUGGAUUCAGGUUUGGGUUUGGGUUGGAAGCCUGGACAUGGACAUGGAUUUGGAUUUGGACUUGGACUUGGACUUGGAUUUAGGCGUGGACGUGGACGUGGACUUGGGGCUGGACCUGGGUCUGGAUUGGACGGGCCUGGCCAUGUUCAUUCACAUGUACGCGUUGGAGUGGGGUCAGAGUGGGAGUGGAGAGGGGAGAGACGACUUUUAACAAGGGAUCUCUAGGCUCUU
rnacentral:misc_RNA from 1 species